AGUGAACGCUGGCGGCGUGCCUAAUACAUGCAAGUCGAGCGAGCGGCGGACGGGUGAGUAAGGUCUGGGAAACUGCCUGAUGGAGGGGGAUAACUACUGGAAACGGUAGCUAAUACAGCAUACCAUCAGAUGUGCCCAGAUGGGAUUAGCUAGUAGGUGGGGUAAUGGCUCACCUAGGCGACGAUCCCUAGCUGGCCUGAGAGGAUGACCAGCCACACUGGAACUGAGACACGGUCCAGACUCCUACGGGAGGCAGCAGUGGGGAAUAUUGCACAAUGGGCGCAAGCCUGAUGCAGCCAUGCCGCGUGUGUGAAGAAGGCCUUCGGGUUGUAAAGCACUUUCAGCGAGGAGGCGGUACUCGCAGAAGAAGCACCGGCUAACUCCGUGCCAGCAGCCGCGGUAAUUC
rnacentral:rRNA from 1 species